CAACAACAACAACAACAACAAAGCCUUUUCCCACUAAGCGGGGUCGGCUAUAUGAAUCCUAGAACGCCAUUGCGCUCGGUUUUGUGUCAUGUCCUCCGUUAGAUCCAAGUACUCUAAGUCUUUUCUUAGAGUCUCUUCCAAAGUUUUCCUAGGUCUUCCUCUACCCCUUCGGCCCUGAACCUCUGUCCCGUAGUCACAUCUUCGAACCGGAGCGUCAGUAGGCCUUCUUUGCACAUGUCCAAAUCACCGGAACCGAUUUUCUCUCAUCUUUCCUUCAAUUUCGGCUACUCCUACUUUACCUCGGAUAUCCUCAUUCCUCAUUCCCAAUCUUAUCCUUUCUCGUGUGCCCACACAUCCCACGAAGCAUCUUCAUCUCCGCCACACCCAUUUUGUGUACGUGUUGAUGCUUCACCGCCCAACAUUCUGUGCCAUACAACAUCACUGGCCUUAUUGCCAUCCUAUAAAAUUUUCCCUUGAGCUUCAGUGGCCUACGACAGUCACACAACACGCCGGAUGCACUCUUACACUUCAUCCAUCCAGCUUGUAUUCUAUGGUUGAGAUCUCCAUCUAAUUCUCCGUUCUCUUGCACGAUAGAUCCUAGGUAGCGAAAACGGUCGUUUUUUGUGAUCUUCGCUAGAUUGCUCCGGUCAUUAGUGUGGAUAAGUAUAUAAAUGGAUAGAGAUAGGAAAGCAAACACAAGAUGUACGUGGUUCACCCAGAUUGGCUACAUCCACGGAAUAGAGGAGUUCUCAUUAAUUGUGAAGGGUUUACACAAGUACAUAGGUUCAAGCUCUCCUUUAGUGAGUACAGGUGAAUGAUUUAGUACAAAUGACAUUAGGAAAUAUUGUGGGAGAAUGAUCUCGUAAUCACGAAACUUCUAAGUAUCGGAGUGUGGUAUCGUCUUGACUUGCCUUAUCUGUCUCAUAGGUAGAUGUGGCAUCUUCUCUGGAAGUACUCUUCCUCCAUCCAGGGGUGGUAUCUUUAACUGGUGGAGAUGCACAAGGUAAUGUAUCAAUUUCACUUGAAGCUUACUUGUAGUUUCAGGCUUGGUCAAGCGCGAUACAAACCAUGUAGUAGGAGUCCCCCAGGUCGCCGAGCUAGGGGAUCUGUUGAAAGAGGUGACAUACAAGGUAAGCAAUCAGAGCUCCGGCUGAUUGUUCACAUUCUCCCUAUCUUGUAGGCAGCAUGAAGGAUAAAGAGAAGAAAAAUGAGAAGAGAUGAUAUGGGAUACUUUUGCUUUUGAAGAAGUAACUUUCCACAGGCUUAUUCUUGAACUGAGCUGGAGGGUUUUCUGGUUUCCUCCAGAGUAUAAGGCCGACUGAAGAAUUUGAAGGUCAAAACAAGUCCAUCAAAUCUAGAGUACGUUCGACCAUGUUGAUAUGGGAUACUUUUGCUUUGACAGAAUAAUGGAUGUAUCGGCACAUGUGCUGUUACGCUUGUCUCCACAUGCUUCCUUGUAUUCUUCUCACUUGCCCUAUCUGUUCCUCAGGCAGAUGCAGUAUCUUCCCUGGAAGCAUAAGAUGUUGAAGAUGAGUACUCGAGAGCAAUGCCAGGUAAGUAAUCAGGUAAGGGGUUCCAGGCAGUCAGUUCCUGGCUGGAAACUUGAUUCCAAGUGCUAACUGAUUGCUCUCUUUCUCCUUGUCUUGCAGGUAAGAACAAGGCCAAAGAAAAAGACAGGGAAAAAGCAUGAUAUGGGAUACUCUUGCUUUUAACCCUGAUGAUAUGAGAUAUUCUUGCUCUAGUAUAGCUUGUUUGCAGAGGUAUUAUCGGGGGGAAAGAAAGCUGAAUAUUUCGAAAGGCUUCAUUGGGAGUGCCCUCUCAGAUAUGAGGAAGGGUUGAGCAUUGUUGCAGGUCUGUCUGUCCGUUGGGGAUGGAGGUCGACAUAUAUAGGAGUCUCCUUAACAACAAGUAGUAAUGCUAUUCCUUUACCCUGCUUGGUCAUAUCACGGUAGUGGGAGCUGCCAGCUUCACAUGUUUUAACUCUGUCAGAGCACUUUGAAAAAGUGGUCUAUGGUAUCUGGAAAGCUGAUGUUGCGUGUGAAGAUUACAGACAGCUUUAUCCAAGGAGAUCCGGCUCUUGCAGUUGGGAAAGUGUUGCCUCUUCAGUUUUCGAACCAGCAAUCCUAUCGGGGAUCUGGCUCUCGAGAUUCGGAGAACGAUGCCUAUUCGAUUUUUGAGAAAGCAAUCAUGCUGGGGGUCUGGCUCUCGAGAUUCGGAGAGCGAUCUUUUCGAUUUUUGAGAAAGUAAUCAUGUUGGGAGUCUGGCUCUCGAGAUUCGGAAGGCGGUGCCUCUUCGAUUUUGGAGCAAGCAAUCUUGUUGGGAGUGUUUCUCGAAAAUGAGUAAAGGUUGGGCAUGUUUGCUAGUCUACCUUGCCACGAAGCACAGAGGUUGACACACAGGGACUUUCCACGACAAAAUGCCCAUAAUUUCUGCAAAGCUGAGUGUGUGUGUGACAGGUGCUGUCAAGGCUGGAAAAGUAGGUGCCUCUUCGAUUUCUGAGAUCGGCCUUCGUGGUCUUUGAGCAGCCCAGCUUUUGAAAAAGCAAACGCCUCUUCGAUUUCUAAGAUCGACCCUCGUGGUCUCUGAGCAGCCCAGCUUUUGAGAAAGCAAACGCCUCUUCGAUUUCUGAGCAGGCACCUCUUCGAUUUUUGAAGCUCCGUCGAGUGCAAAUUUUUAUAGGGGCUGGCAUUAAGUUCCAAAGCACACUUGAAUCUCCACCAGUAGAAGCACCAUUCUUGCACUUCUAAGAUCUUGAUUUGUCUGACCUCUUCUCUUUUCAACCCCUUUGAAAAUGUCUGGCCCCUCCGACCGUCGUUUUGACUUGAACCUUGUUGAAGAGGUAGCCCCGCCUUCUCCAGACAACAUAUGGCGCCCAUCAUUCGUCUCCCCUACUGGUCCUCUUACCGUUGGGGAUUCCGUGAUGAAGAAUGAUAUGACCGCUGCGGUGGUGGCCAGGAACCUUCUCACUCCCAAAGAUAACAGACUACUUUCCAAACGGUCUGAUGAGUUAGCUGUUAAGGAUUCUCUGGCUCUCAGUGUUCAGUGUGCAGGUUCUGUGUCUAAUAUGGCCCAACGCCUAUUUGCUCGAACCCGCCAAGUUGAAUCAUUGGCGGCUGAAGUGAUGAGUCUCAAACAGGAGAUUAGAGGGCUCAAGCAUGAGAAUAAACAGUUGCACCGGCUCGCACAUGACUAUGCUACAAACAUGAAGAGGAAGCUUGACCAGAUGAAGGAAUCUGAUGGUCAGGUUUUACUUGAUCAUCAGAGAUUUGUGGGUUUGUUCCAAAGGCAUUUAUUGCCUUCGUUUUCUGGGGCUGUACCGCGUAAUGAAGCUCCAAAUGAUCAACCUCUGAUGCCUCCUCCGUCUAGGGUUCUGUCCAGUACUGAGGCUCCGAAUGAUCCCCCUCCGGUGCCUUCUCUUUCUGGGGCUCUACCGACUGCUGAGACUUCUCCUAAGCAACCUUUGUGAAGGCUCCCUCUUGUUUGUUUAUUUUGACUCAUGUAUAUGUACAUAUUUGUAGCUUAUCGGGGAUAUCAAUAAAUAAGCUUUCCUUCAUUUCAAUGUAUUGUGUUAAAUACACCAAAACCUUCUUCGCUAAGUUCUUUGAAUUUUCUUUUGUUGAAGCUUUGUGAGUGGAGCAUGUAGGUUGAGGUAGUGUUCCCUUAAUUUCCUGAGUGAGGAAAACUUCUCGGUUUGAGACUUGGAAAAUCCAAGUCACUGAGUGGGAUCGGCUAUAUGGAUGUUAGAACGCCAUUGUGCUCGGUCCUGUGUCAUGUCCUUCGUUAGAUCCAAGUACUCUAAGUCUUUUCUUAGAGUCUCUUGCAAAGUUUUCGUAGGUCUUCCUCUACCCCUUCGACCCUGAACCUCUGUCCCAUAGUCGCAUCUUCUAAUCGGAGCGUCAGUAGGCCUUCUUUGCACAUGUCCAA
rnacentral:lncRNA from 1 species